GUGGGGAAUCUUGCGCAAUGGGCGAAAGCCUGACGCAGCCAUGCCGCGUGAAUGAUGAAGGUCUUAGGAUUGUAAAAUUCUUUCACCGGGGACGAUAAUGACGGUACCCGGAGAAGAAGCCCCGGCUAACUUCGUGCCAGCAGCCGCGGUAAUACGAAGGGGGCUAGCGUUGCUCGGAAUUACUGGGCGUAAAGGGCGCGUAGGCGGAUCGUUAAGUCAGGGGUGAAAUCCCAGAGCUCAACUCUGGAACUGCCCUUGAUACUGGCGAUCUUGAGUGUGAGAGAGGUAUGUGGAACUCCGAGUGUAGAGGUGAAAUUCGUAGAUAUUCGGAGGAACACCAGUGGCGAAGGCGGCUCACUGGCUCGAUACUGACGCUGAGGUGCGAAAGCGUGGGGAGCAAACAGGAUUAGAAACCCUUGUAGUCC
rnacentral:rRNA from 1 species